rnacentral:misc_RNA from 1 species
AAAUGAGAACCGGUGCGUGUUGCGUGGUGUAAAACCCUCGUAGCAUGCUACCGUCAACUUCUACCCUUGUAUAUUAUUCAACUGUUGCUUUGGCAGGCCGCGAGCCAUCACGGUGAGCACCGGCUUCGGCUGGAGAGUGCCUGCCAGAGGACCUCAACUCUGUAUUAUAUGAAGUCUGAGUACUAUCAAAUAGUUA